CCCUGCUCAAUGGUUUACUAAAUAGCCGCAGUACUCUGACUGUGCAAAGGUAGCAUAAUCAUUUGGCUUAUAAUUGAAGUCUGGCAUGAAUGGGAACAUGGGUAAAUACUGUCUUAUUUAAAUAGGUAAAAUUUACUUAAAAGGUGAAAAUUCCUUUAUAUACACUAAAGACGAGAAGACCCUAGAAAUUUUUUAUAUUCAUUUAUAACACGUAUUUUGUUGGGGCGACAUAGUAGCAAAUUUAACCUACUUAAAUUAAUAUGACCUUAUUUAAUAGCAUGGCUAAAUUACUCUAGGGAUAACAGCAUAAUGUAAUUAAGUUUGUGACCUCGAUGUUGGACUAGGAAACUUAAUGUCUAGAAGAUAUUAAUUAAGGCUCUGUUCGAGCUGUAUUUCCUACGUGAUCUGAUUUCAGACCGGA
rnacentral:rRNA from 1 species